AGCAGCCUANGGGAGGCAGCNGUNAGGAAUAUUGGACAAUGGGNGGGAGNCUNAUCCAGCCAUGCCGNGUGCAGGAAGACUGCCCUAUGGGUAGUAAACUGCUUUUAUACAGGAAGAAAAAGACCCUACGUGUAGCGNGUUACUGACGGUACCGUAAGAAUAAGGACCGGCUAACUCCGUGCCAGCAGCCGCGGUAAUACGGAGGAUCCAAGCGUUAUCCGGAAUCAUUGGGUUUAAAGGGUCCGUAGGCGGGCCGANUAAGUCAGAGGUGAAAGUCCUGCAGCUCAACGGUAGAACUGCCUUUGAUACUGGUCGGUCUUGAAUUAUAGUGAAGUAGCCGGAAUAUGUAGUGUAGCGGUGAAAUGCAUAGAUAUCACAUAGAACACCGAUUGCGAAGGCAGAUGACUAACUAUAUACAUGNACACUGAUNGGACGAAAGCGUGGGGAGCGAACAGGAUUAGAUACCCUGGUAGUCCACGCCGUAAACGAUGGAUACUAGCUGUCCGGAACCUUGAGUUCUGGGCGGCCAAGCGAAAGUGAUAAGUAUCCCACCUGGGGAGUACGUUCGCAAGAAUGAAACUCAAAGGAAUUGACGG
rnacentral:rRNA from 1 species